rnacentral:rRNA from 1 species
GAUGAACGCUAGCGACAGGCUUAACACAUGCAAGUCGAGGGGCAGCACAGGUAGCAAUACCGGGUGGCGACCGGCGCACGGGUGAGUAACGCGUAUGCAACUUGCCUAUCAGAGGGGGAUAACCCGGCGAAAGUCGGACUAAUACCGCAUGAAGCAGGGAUCCCGCAUGGGAAUAUUUGCUAAAGAUUCAUCGCUGAUAGAUAGGCAUGCGUUCCAUUAGGCAGUUGGCGGGGUAACGGCCCACCAAACCGACGAUGGAUAGGGGUUCUGAGAGGAAGGUCCCCCACAUUGGUACUGAGACACGGACCAAACUCCUACGGGAGGCAGCAGUGAGGAAUAUUGGUCAAUGGCCGAGAGGCUGAACCAGCCAAGUCGCGUGAGGGAUGAAGGUUCUAUGGAUCGUAAACCUCUUUUAUAAGGGAAUAAAGUGCGGGACGUGUCCCGUUUUGUAUGUACCUUAUGAAUAAGGAUCGGCUAACUCCGUGCCAGCAGCCGCGGUAAUACGGAGGAUCCGAGCGUUAUCCGGAUUUAUUGGGUUUAAAGGGUGCGUAGGCGGCCUUUUAAGUCAGCGGUGAAAGUCUGUGGCUCAACCAUAGAAUUGCCGUUGAAACUGGGGGGCUUGAGUAUGUUUGAGGCAGGCGGAAUGCGUGGUGUAGCGGUGAAAUGCAUAGAUAUCACGCAGAACCCCGAUUGCGAAGGCAGCCUGCCAAGCCAUGACUGACGCUGAUGCACGAAAGCGCGGGGAUCAAACAGGAUUAGAUACCCUGGUAGUCCACGCAGUAAACGAUGUCCACUAAGCUGUUUUGCGAUACACGUUAAGCGGCACAGCGAAAGCGUUAAGUGAUCCACCUGGGGAGUACGCCGGCAACGGGUGAAACUCAAAGGAAUUGACGGGGGGCCGCACAAGCGGAGGAACAUGUGGUUUAAUUCGAUGAUACGCGAGGAACCUUACCCGGGUUUGAACGCAUUCGGACCGAGGUGGAAACACCUUUUCUAGCAAUAGCCGUUUGCGAGGUGCUGCAUGGUUGUCGUCAGCUCGUGCCGUGAGGUGUCGGCUUAAGUGCCAUAACGAGCGCAACCCUUGCCACUAGUUACUAACAGGUAAAGCUGAGGACUCUGGUGGGACUGCCAGCGUAAGCUGCGAGGAAGGCGGGGAUGACGUCAAAUCAGCACGGCCCUUACAUCCGGGGCGACACACGUGUUACAAUGGCGUGGACAAAGGGAAGCCACCUGGCGACAGGGAGCGAAUCCCCAAACCACGUCUCAGUUCGGAUCGGAGUCUGCAACCCGACUCCGUGAAGCUGGAUUCGCUAGUAAUCGCGCAUCAGCCAUGGCGCGGUAAAUACGUUCCCGGGCCUUGCAC